GACCCUAGGUCAGGCGUGGCCACCCGCUGAAUUUAAGCAUAUCAAUAAGCGGAGGAGGAGAAACUUACAAGGAUUCCCCUAGUAACGGCGAGCGAAUCGGGACCAAGCCCAGCUUGAGAAUCGGAUGGUUGCACCUUCCGAAUUGUAGUCUGCAGAAGCAUCCUCAGCGACGGACCGGGUGUAAGUCCCUUGGAAGGGGGCGCCGGAGAGGGUGAGAGCCCCGUCGUGCCUGGAACCUGUCGCAUCACGAGGUGUUGUCGGCGAGUCGGGUUGUUUGGGAAUGCAGCCC
rnacentral:rRNA from 1 species